AGAGGGCGGAGAGAAGUAGAGCGAUGCAGACCCGAAACCGGGUGAUCUAGCCAUGGGCAGGUUGAAGCAGAAGUGAAAUUCUGUGGAGGACCGAACCGACUACCGUUGAAAAGUUAGCGGAUGACCUGUGGCUAGGGGAGAAAUUCCAAUCGAACCCGGAGAUAGCUGGUUCUCCCCGAAAUAGCUUUAGGGCUAGCGUCGGCCGAUGAGCAAGGGAGGUAGAGCACUGAAUGCAUGAUGGCCCCAACCCGGGGUACUGAAUGCAAUCAAACUGCGAAUGCCCUUGAAGAAAGAGGCCGGCAGUCAGACUGUGGGUGAUAAGGUCCAUGGUCGAGAGGGAAACAGCCCAGACCGCCAGCAAAGGUCCCGAAAUACAGGCUAAGUGGAAAAGGAUGUGGGGACGCACGGACAGCUAGGAGGUUGGCUCAGAAGCAGCCAUCCUUUGAAGAGUGCGUAACAGCUCACUAGUCGAGUGGCCCUGCGCCGAAAAUGUACCGGGGCUAAGCCUGAUACCGAAGCUGCGGAUGUAUUCGAAAGAGUAUGUGGUAGGGGAGCGUUGCAUGCAGGAAGAAGUAUCACUGAGAAGGGAUAUGGACAGCAUGGAAGUGAGAAUGCCGGUGUGAGUAGCGAGAUGCAGGUGAGAAUCCUGCACACCGAAAGCCCAAGGAUUCCAGGGGAAGGUUCGUCCGCCCUGGGUAAGUCGGGACCUAACGCGAGGCCGAGAGGCGUAGUGGAUGGAAAGCAGGCGGAGAUUCCUGCACCCGCGAGAUACGAGGCGAAGGAGUGACGGAGACGGAGUAGGCGACCCUCUGAAUGGAUUGAGGGCCAAGCGCAGCAGACGGAUACCAGGCAAAUCCGGUAUCGGAAGGCAGGGCGUGAAGGGUAAGCGAAAUCGAAAGAGAGUAGCGAAGCGCUAAGGACGGCUUCCAAGAAAAGCUUCUAGCAAAGAGGUAUCGAGCGGCCCGUACCAAAACCGACACAGGUGGGCAGGCUGAGUAGGCCAAGGUGAGCGAGAGAACUGUUGCCAAGGAACUCGGCAAAAUGGCCCCGUAAGUUCGCGAGAAGGGGCGCUCUCGAGAGAGAGCCGCAGUGAAAAGGCCCAAGCGACUGUUUAACUAAAACACAGCUCUCUGCGAAGCCGCAAGGCGAAGUAUAGGGGGUGACACCUGCCCGGUGCUGGAAGGUUAAGGGGAUCUGUGAAUCGAAAGAUGAAGCAGUGGUCCGAAGCCCCAGUGAACGGCGGCCGUAACUAUAACGGUCCUAAGGUAGCGAAAUUCCUUGUCAGGUAAGUUCUGACCCGCACGAAAGGUGUAACGAUUUGGGCGCUGUCUCGGCAGCAGACUCGGUGAAAUCUUAGUACCUGUGAAAAUGCAGGUUACCCGCAACUAGACGGAAAGACCCCAUGGAGCUUUACUGCAGCUUGGCAUUGGGUUCUGAACGAACAUGUACAGGAUAGGUGGGAGACGAAGAGAGGAGCACGCCAGUGCGUCUUGAGUCGAUGUUGGGAUACCACCCUUGAGCGUUUGGAGCCCUAACCUGGGUCCUGGAACAGGAUCGGGGAGAGUGCCAGGCGGGCAGUUUGACUGGGGCGGUCGCCUCCCAAAGAGUAACGGAGGCGCCCAAAGGUACGCUCAGGCUGGAUGGAAACCAGCUGACGAGUGCAAAUGCAGAAGCGUGCCUGACUGUGAGAGCAACAACUCGAACAGGGACGAAAGUCGGGAUUAGUGAUCCGGCGGUGCCGAAUGGAAGGGCCGUCGCUCAACGGAUAAAAGCUACCCUGGGGAUAACAGGCUGAUCUCGCCCAAGAGUUCACAUCGACGGCGAGGUUUGGCACCUCGAUGUCGGCUCAUCGCAUCCUGGAGCUGGAUUCGGUUCCAAGGGUUGGGCUGUCCGCCCAUUAAAGCGGUACGCGAGCUGGGUUCAGAACGUCGUGAGACAGUUCGGUCCCUAUCUGUUGUGGGCGAAGGAGAUCUGAGGGGAGCUGUCCUUAGUACGAGAGGACCGGGAUGGACCUGCCGCUUGUGGAUCGGUUAUCACGCCAGUGGUAAAGCCGGGUAGCGAAGCAGGGAAGGGAUAAGCGCUGAAAGCAUCUAAGCACGAAGCCCACCCCAAGAUGAGAUCUCCCAUUCU
rnacentral:rRNA from 1 species